rnacentral:rRNA from 1 species
UAAGGCGGCCACAGCGGCGAGGCAACACCCGUACCCAUCCCGAACACGGAAGUUAAGCUCGCCAGCGUGGCCAGUAAGUACUGGAGUGUGGCGAACCUCUGGAAACGCUGCUUCGCCGCCUCCC